rnacentral:rRNA from 1 species
GACGAACGCUGGCGGCGUGCUUAACACAUGCAAGUCGAACGGUGACCCAGGGCUUGCCCUGGUGAUCAGUGGCGAACGGGUGAGUAACACGUGGGGCAACCUGCCCCUGACUUCGGGAUAACUCCUCGAAAGAGGAGCUAAUACCGGAUACGACCACUUCGGACAUCCGAUGGUGGUGGAAAGUUUUUCGGUCAGGGAUGGGCCCGCGGCCUAUCAGCUAGUUGGUGGGGUAAUGGCCUACCAAGGCGACGACGGGUAGCCGGCCUGAGAGGGCGACCGGCCACACUGGGACUGAGACACGGCCCAGACUCCUACGGGAGGCAGCAGUGGGGAAUAUUGCGCAAUGGGCGAAAGCCUGACGCAGCGACGCCGCGUGAGGGAUGAAGGCCUUCGGGUUGUAAACCUCUUUCAGCAGGGACGAAGCGAAAGUGACGGUACCUGCAGAAGAAGCACCGGCUAACUACGUGCCAGCAGCCGCGGUAAU